UCCGGGGCUCUCAGCCCACAGCCCUCGGCAGGGCUACGGGCUCUGCAGCGAGGCACUCCUCCCGCCAGAGUCGUGUGAGGAGGUUUUACUGAAAGUGUGACCCAUUGCGAAACCUGGAGCAGAUGUGACCUGGAACCCAGGAAGCCAGCCACAGGCAAGCAAAGGCCCUGCUUCUUAAGAGGAAUUACUGUGUGGAAGCUCCUUUGCUGGGAAGAUAGCAGCAAUCUGUAAGAUGCUAAGAUGGGAGUAUGCCAAAGACCUGUCAGUCUUUCCUUCAACUUCUGCCUUGAACCCAAAUGCCUGAGCUGAGUCCAAAGACUCUUCUCUUCUCUAGUGUCUGGGGUCAAUAACUGGAGAACAUCCCCAGCCCGGGAUGCUGCAGCACCAAGAGAUGCACAGCACAGCAAGCACUUCUCCUCAGACCACAUGCAAACAAGGUCACUCCAAUUCCCCAUCUCUCCCCUCACUGCAAACAUUACUGGCCUUGUAAGUAAUUACUGUUCAGUCUCCUGGUGUCAUACAUUUGAACCAAAAUAAUUCAUACCUGAGGUUCCAAGAAAUUGCCAGUAGUUUUUGUUGUUCACUAAGAACUUUAUGUUAGGAUGCAGAAAAGAAUUAUUAAUUUGGGGUUUGCAUAUGACUGUCCUUUGAGAAGACAGAAACAGCCAAUCCUGAGGACCUGGGCUCCUGUCUGUUUGGAAGGAAGUAUUAUUUGUUCAAGCUGAGUUUCUGUUUCCCCAACAUUCCUUCCUGUUACAAAUCUCAGUUAGCCAUGGUGUGUCAGUAUCAUGCCUUGGACUUUUUAGAGGCUUAGGGUUGGCAUUUCUGACUGAAAGGUUGUGCCCAACACUUAAGAGUGUCACUGUAUGGGAGUUCAAAGUUCACAGGGACUUCAUCCCAUAAUACUUUGCAUUCUUCCAGUUGCAAAGGAAUACUUACAGUGAUAUUUUUCUAUGAUAUAGAAGUCAUACGAUACAUCCAAGUAUAGUCCUGAGAAAUCUUUCCUGAGAAAUCUUUUCUGCACUUCUGGCUAGACAAAAGUACUUAUUACAAAAGAAACACAGAUGUCUGUAGGUUCUGUACAUGCAGGAGCCUAACAUUUGGAGAAAUAAAUAGCUCUGGAUCACACAGAGGAACCAGUACUGUUCUUUCUGUGGUAAUGAAGAACAGGAUAUGUUGUAGGCACAAUAUUAUUAAUAAAUAGUGAGCAAUGCAAUAUGAAUCUGUAAUUCAAUUUAGGAUUUCAGCUGAAAUUGCUCUUUGGAAUUACAGAUGGCAGUGAGCUCUGAAAAUUGAAUUACAGUCCAAACAGGAACUGAGUCAUGUGUAGCAAUGGUCUAGGGAAGCAUAGACUCACAAUCAGCACUGGGCAAGAUAUUAUUGGCAGUACUAUAUUCACAGAAAAGAAAGGCAUUUGGUGGACAUAAAUUAAAUGUAACUGAUCUUAUAAAUCAAUAUGUGAUAGAAAAACGGGGGAACAUUUAAAUCUAUUGAUUUUUAAAUGGCAACUUUAUUUUUAAAGCUGAUUCAAGCUGAAAAACAAUUAUUGAAAGGUUUCAUUAAUCUGAAGCUUAAACAUGGCAUUUUGGAGGGGAAAAUUUUAAUAUUCAGUUUACCUGAGAACAUAAUUUUUAUACUUUCUGAAAUAUCUCCUGAAUUUCUAUUUUAGUUGAAGCCAGAGAACCGCAGUUUCCCCCUCAUUUCCUCAGUUUAGCCACUGAGCUGAAAGGUCCCUUGUUGUUUUAGCCAGAAUAAAGGCUGAUGUUUUUCAAAAAGGAGGGGAGUGUCAUUGCUUUAAAUGUCACCAGCAAUCUUCUCUAACAGAAGAGGUCAGUGUUGGGGGCCUAAUUUCUGAGUUUAAACGGAUCACCAAAGGUUCAAACAAAAAAUAGGACAAAUACAGCUAGAGCUGAUGUCCAUUUCUAGCCUUGCCAGAACAGAAGUAGCAGCCCAGGUUGCCCAGAGAGGUGUUGGAUGUCCCAUCCCUGGGAAGAUUCAGGUUGGAUGGGGCUCUGAGCAGCCUGAUCUGGAAGAUGUCCCUGCUCAUUGCAAGGGGGCUGGACUGGAUGGCCUUUAAAGGUCGCUUCCAAAUCAAAUUCUGUGAUUCUGUGGUGAGUUCACUUGUUCCUCACUGCUUGUCCCCUUCUGGGAUUGAAAGAAAACUCCUGCACAAGACAGUUCUCUGGAUUUCUAAGCCACAGCUGUGUUACCCUGGGUAAUGUGCUAAGUGUAAAAGCCACAUAGAGAUAAAUCUUUACUUCAUGGUACUGUCUGUAAUGAGGCUAAAUUGAUUAAUUUCAGGAAAGUGUUUAAAAUCCAUUAUGGAAGCUGUUAAAUAAAUAGAGUUUUCAAGCAGUAAAGCAUAAGAUUAUGUUCUUCUGAAGCACCAUGAAGCAGUAUUGUUAAAUUGGUGAGCCAAUAUGAUGUACUUGUUAAGCACCACAGUAAAUCUAUAGAUUCUCUCUCUUUCAUCUAAAUCAUCCUGUAAGAAAUCCACAAGCAUACUGAUUGUCUCCUUUCCUGCCAGUCUGGAAAGACUGGUCAGAGAAGGCAGGAUGCUGAAAACCAGGCUACCUUCAGAGAAGAACUUGACAAGGUCAUCUGUCUUUACAUAUGUAAUAUCUUUUCUAACAUCUGGCUCCCAAAUAAAAUUAUAUCAGACAAAAACUUAGAACUGUGCCUUUGGGUUUUGGUGGAAGAUAGAGUGAGUAGUCUCCUUUUAUAUCAACCACUAGCAUUGCAACUUUUUUCUGGUUUCCUGAUGAACAUUUUGCAUGGUUCUAAUGAUAGGUCAUAACUACUUUGUUGAAUGUUUCAGUGACAGUAAACACAGCAAAAAUUAUUGUCUAGAAUACAUUGUUCCUUAAAGCUCUCUCACUAGUUUAGGAAAACUGUGGCUAAAAACUGUGGCAUUUGGAUGACCUUCCUUUUGCUGUUCUCCAGCUAAUACUAACACUCAAAUCUAGUAUAAAUAAAAGCAAACAUUAAUGAUAAUAAACUCUCAAAUUCAGUCACUGGUUUGUUUAUAGCUAGGUUGGUACUUGAGGGAUCCAGU